GACGAACGCUGGCGGCGCGCCUAACACAUGCAAGUCGAACGGAGCUGAGAGAAGCUUGCUUUUCUUAGCUUAGUGGCGAACGGGUGAGUAACGCGUGAGUAACCUGCCCUGGAGUGGGGGACAACAGUUGGAAACGACUGCUAAUACCGCAUAAGCCCACGAUCCGGCAUCGGAUUGAGGGAAAAGGAUUUAUUCGCUUCAGGAUGGACUCGCGUCCACUUAGCUAGUUGGUGAGGUAACGGCCCACCAAGGCGAGGAUUGGUAGCCGGACGGGGAGGUUGAACGGCCACAUUGGGACUGAGACACGGCCCAGACUCCUACGGGAGGGAGCAGUGGGGGAUAUUGCACAAGGGGGGAAACCCUGAUGCAGCGACGCCGCGUGGAGGAAGAAGGUGUUCGGAUUGUAAACUCCUGUCGUUAGGGACGAUAAUGACGGUACCUAACAAGAAAGCACCGGCUAACUACGUG
rnacentral:rRNA from 1 species